UACGGAGGGUGCAAGCGUUGUCCGGAUUUAUUGGGUUUAAAGGGUGCGUAGGUGGCCCUAUAAGUCAGUGGUGAAAGUCUGCAGCUUAGCUGUAGAACUGCCAUUGAUACUGUAGGGCUUGAGUACUGAUGAGGUAGGCGGAAUUGAUAGUGUAGCGGUGAAAUGCAUAGAGAUGUGGAGGAACACCAGUGGCGAAGGCGACUCUUUGGCCUGUAACUGACACUGAGGCGCGAAAGCGUGGGGAGCAAACAGG
rnacentral:rRNA from 1 species